AUUUUCUUGUGCAUUUCAAUACCUACUAUUAAUUAUAUUGUUUUUCCUUCCUCAGGAUCCACAAAUUGUCAAGCACACAUGCUACAACCAUCAACUUCUGGGAUAUUAACUAUCUAACUUGGCAAUGUUCACAAAAUGGUUUCCAUCAUCUAUGCGAUUCUGUUUCCAUUAUAGCUGUUUGUUUCUCCAAUGACUAUGUCUACUGUUACGCACGAUAAGAAAUCUAUUCAGGCUAUGUCACUGCAUCCAAAAGACUUGGUACCCACGAGUUCGUUUUCCUAUUAUGUACAUUGCUGGAAGCCUGGAACCUUU
rnacentral:rRNA from 1 species